GACGAACGCUGGCGGCGUGCUUAACACAUGCAAGUCGAACGGAAAGGCCCUGCUUUUGUGGGGUGCUCGAGUGGCGAACGGGUGAGUAACACGUGAGUAACCUGCCCUUGACUUUGGGAUAACUUCAGGAAACUGGGGCUAAUACCGGAUAGGAGCUCCUGCUGCGUGGUGGGGGUUGGAAAGUUUCGGCGGUUGGGGAUGGACUCGCGGCUUAUCAGCUUGUUGGGGGGGUAGUGGCUUACCAAGGCUUUGACGGGUAGCCGGCCUGAGAGGGUGACCGGCCACAUUGGGACUGAGAUACGGCCCAGACUCCUACGGGAGGCAGCAGUGGGGAAUAUUGCACAAUGGGCGGAAGCCUGAUGCAGCAACGCCGCGUGCGGGAUGACGGCCUUCGGGUUGUAAACCGCUUUCGCCUGUGACGAAGCGUGAGUGACGGUAAUGGGUAAAGAAGCACCGGCUAACUACGUG
rnacentral:rRNA from 1 species